GGAGAGGUGGGUGAGUGGCUGAAACCAGUUCCCUGCUAAGGAACCAUACGCAUAUACGCGUAUCGAGGGUUCGAAUCCCUCCCUCUCCG
rnacentral:tRNA from 2 species